GGCAACUUUGACAUUCCAGUCGCUCAUGUUUCUGGCCAGCAGCAGCAGCUGAUUCGAGAUGGUUUUGAAGAAUGGACAAGUUUCAUAACCAAGUAUUAUUUGCGCAUUGCCAAACUGUUGAGCUGUUGUGAGAAAGUUACAAGGGAUGUAGCAGGACAACAAUUGCC